UGACCGCUGGCGGCGUGCCUAAUACAUGCAAGUCGAGCGAACGGACGCGAAGCUUGCUUCUCUGAUGUUAGCGGCGGACGGGUGAGUAACACGUGGAUAACCUACCUAUAAGACUGGGAUAACUUCGGGAAACCGGAGCUAAUACCGGAUAAUAUUUUGAACCGCAUGGUUCCAAAGUGAAAGACGGUCUUGCUGUCACUUAUAGAUGGAUCCGCGCUGCAUUAGCUAGUUGGUAAGGUAACGGCUUACCAAGGCAACGAUGCAUAGCCGACCUGAGAGGGUGAUCGGCCACACUGGAACUGAGACACGGUCCAGACUCCUACGGGAGGCAGCAGUAGGGAAUCUUCCGCAAUGGGCGAAAGCCUGACGGAGCAACGCCGCGUGAGUGAUGAAGGUCUUCGGAUCGUAAAACUCUGUUAUUAGGGAAGAACAUAUGUGUAAGUAACUGUGCACAUCUUGACGGUACCUAAUCAGAAAGCCACGGCUAACUACGUG
rnacentral:rRNA from 1 species